AACGAACGCUGGCGGCAUGCCUAACACAUGCCAGUCGAACGAGACCUUCGGGUCUAGUGGCGCACGGGUGCGUAACGCGUGGGAACCUGCCCUUAGGUUCGGAAUAACUCCCCGAAAGGGGUGCUAAUACCGGAUAAUGUCUUCGGACCAAAGAUUUAUCGCCUUUGGAUGGGCCCGCGUUGGAUUAGCUAGUUGGUAGGGUAAAAGCCUACCAAGGCGACGAUCCAUAGCUGGUCUGAGAGGAUGAUCAGCCACACUGGGACUGAGACACGGCCCAGACUCAGGGGGGAGGGAGGAGGGGAAAAUAGGCAAGAGGGGGCGACGGCGUGGUGCAGCAGUGGGGGGGGAGUGAUGACGGCAGUAGGGUUGUAAAGUGCUGUUCGCGGGGAUGCUAAGGGCAGUAGGGGGAAAAUAAGCGCCGGCGAAGCCGGUGACAGGGGCGGCGGUAAUACUCGGAAUAGCAAACGUCUGAAC
rnacentral:rRNA from 1 species